rnacentral:rRNA from 1 species
GCGGAGGAAAAGAAAAUAACAAUGAUUCCCUCAGUAACGGCGAGUGAACAGGGAAAAGCUCAAAGUUGGAACCUGGUGGGCCUAGCCUACCCGGAUUGUAAACUAAAGUUUUUGGGUCGUUUAGUCAGCCAGAUAAAUAAGUCCUCUGGAAAGGGGCGACAUAGAGGGUGAAAUCCCCGUCUUUGGUCUGAGCAUGAUUAGGCGUUUGGCCUGGAAACGAAGAGUCAGGUUGUUUGGGAAUGCAGCCUAAAAUGGGAGGUAAAUCUCUCCUAAAGCUAAAUAUUGACGAAAGACCGAUAGCGAACAAGUACCGUGAGGGAAAGAUGAAAAGCACUUUGAAAAGAGGGUCAAAAAGUACGUGAAAUUGCUGAAAGGGAACCGUAUAAAAUCAGACUUACUGAUAGGUAAUCAACCUUCCUCUUGGGGAGGGUGCACUUGCCUGUUAUUGUAUGCCAGCAAUACUUUGGUUGGGAGGAAAAAAGUAGGAGAAAUGUAGCCUAGGCUUCGGUUUAGGUGUUAUAGUCUUUUGCAAAAUACUCUCGGCUGGAGUAAGGAACGCAGCAAACCGUAAGGCGAAGAUUUUGGGCGCUUGGAAUUAAUAGUUGGAGAAUUUCUGCUUCGGGUGGUGCUUUAGCUAUUAGUUUUAACCCGCUUAAAGUUCUUUUAAUUUGCUUAGGUUGUUGGCUUAAUGAUUUUAUAUGAC